GGUACUGUGGCAGAGAGGGAACGCAUGUGCUUUGAAUGCAGAAGAACCCCGGUUCAAACCCCAGCAUUUCCA
rnacentral:tRNA from 1 species